GAUGAACGCUGGCGGCGUGCCUAAUACAUGCCAGUCGAGCGAACAGACGAGGAGCUUGCUCCUCUGACGUUAGCGGCGGACGGGUGAGUAACACGUGGAUAACCUACCUAUAAGACUGGGAUAACUUCGGGAAACCGGAGCUAAUACCGGAUAAUAUAUUGAACCGCAUGGUUCAAUAGUGAAAGACGGUUUUGCUGUCACUUAUAGAUGGAUCCGCGCCGCAUUAGCUAGUUGGUAAGGUAACGGCUUACCAAGGCAACGAUGCGUAGCCGACCUGAGAGGGUGAUCGGCCACACUGGAACUGAGACACGGUCCAGAUUCCUACGGGAGGCAGCAGUAGGGAAUCUUACGCAAUGGGCGAAAGCCUGACGGAGCAACGCCGCGUGAGUGAUGAAGGUCUUCGGAUCGUAAAACUCUGUUAUUAGGGAAGAACAAAUGUGUAAGUAACUAUGCACGUCUUGACGGUACCUAAUCAGAAAGCCACGGCUAACUACGUG
rnacentral:rRNA from 1 species